CCUACGGUGUGCAGCAGUGAGGAAUAUUGGUCAAUGGACGAGAGUCUGAACCAGCCAAGUAGCGUGAAGGAUGACUGCCCUAUGGGUUGUAAACUUCUUUUAUAAAGGAAUAAAACGAGGCACGUGUGCCUUUUUGCAUGUACUUUAUGAAUAAGGAUCGGCUAACUCCGUGCCAGCAUCCGCGGUAAUACGGAGGAUCCGAGCGUUAUCCUGAUUGAUUGUGUCUAAAGGGAGCGUAGAUGGGUUGUUAAGUCAGUUGUGAAAGUUUGCGGCUCAACCGUAAAAUUGCAAUUGAUACUGGCAGUCUUGAGUACAGUUGAGGUAAGCGGAAUGCGUGGUGUAGCGGUGAAAUGCUUAGAUAUCACGAAGAACCCCGAUUGCGAAGGCAGCUUACUAAACUGUGACUGACAUUGAUGCUCGAAAGUGUGGGUAUCAAACAGGAUUAGAUACCCGAGUAGUC
rnacentral:rRNA from 1 species